rnacentral:tRNA from 2 species
GCGGGUGUAGCUCAGCCGGCAGAGCGUCACGUUCCCAACGUGAAUGUCGUGAGUUCAAGUCUCAUCACCCGCU